CAGUCGCCACGGUAAUACGUAGGUGGCAAGCGUUGUCCGGAAUUAUUGGGCGUAAAGGGCUCGCAGGCGGUUUCUUAAGUCUGAUGUGAAAGCCCCCGGCUCAACCGGGGAGGGUCAUUGGAAACUGGGAAACUUGAGUGCAGAAGAGGAGAGUGGAAUUCCACGUGUAGCGGUGAAAUGCGUAGAGAUGUGGAGGAACACCAGUGGCGAAGGCGACUCUCUGGUCUGUAACUGACGCUGAGGGGCGAAAGCGUGGGGAGCGAACAGGAUUAGAUACCCCUGUAGUCCCUGUCUCUUAUAA
rnacentral:rRNA from 1 species